rnacentral:rRNA from 1 species
AUGCAAGCUUGUUCUAUGUUACUAGGAAGGCCAUGGCAAUAUGAUAAACAAUGUUUACAUAAUGGUAGAACUAAUCAGUACACUCUCACACAUAAAGGAAAGAAAAUCAUUCUACACCCUAUGUCUCCUGAGCAAAUUUUAAAAGAUGAUCUUGCUAGGGCUAGUAGAAACACAAAUAUUGAGCAUACUCAAUCUGAAAAUCAGAAAGUUGUUGAUGAGUUAGAACAAUUUAAUAAGCUGCACAAAUCUGAUCCUAGCACAUCUAAAGAAAUUAAAUUGAAAGGUGUAUCUUUCUUAGCUACACGUGCUGAAAUUUUUGAGUUAGAUGCUCAUACUGAUGAAUGUUAUGCUCUUAUUUGCAAAGAAGUUUUGUUUUCAUUUGAGGAUAUGCCUUCUUCUUUGCCUCCUGUUGUCGCUAACCUUUUGCAGGAGUAUCAUGAUGUUUUUCCAAAGGAAGUACCACCGGGGCUGCCACCUAUGAGAGGAAUUGAACAUCAAAUUGACUUGAUCCCUGGCGCCUCAUUACCCAACCGUGUGCCGUACCGGACUAAUCCAGAGGAGACUAAGGAGAUUCAGCGACAAGUUCAUGAACUACUUGAAAAAGGUUACAUUCGUGAAUCCCUUAGUCCAUGUGCUGUACCAAUUUUACUUGUUCCUAAAAAAGACGGUACUUCGCGUAUGUGUGUUGAUUGUAGAGCCAUCAAUAAUAUUACAAUUCGAUAUCAUCAUCCUAUUCCUAGAUUAGAUGACAUGCUUGAUGAACUCAGUGGCUCAAUUGUGUUUUCUAAAGUGGACUUGCGUAGUGGCUACCAUCAAAUUCGUAUGAAACUAGGUGAUGAAUGGAAAACUGCUUUCAAAACUAAAUUUGGUUUAUAUGAGUGGUUAGUUAUGCCUUUUGGAUUGACUAAUGCACCUAGUACUUUCAUGAGACUAAUGAAUUAA